rnacentral:snRNA from 1 species
GUGCUUGCUUUGGCAGCACAUAUACUAAAACUGGAACGAUACAGAGAAGAUUAGCAUGGCCCCUGCUCAAGAAUGACAUGCAAAUUCAUGAAGCGUUCCGUAUUUUU